rnacentral:rRNA from 1 species
UACGGAGGGUGCAAGCGUUGUCCGGAUUUAUUGGGUUUAAAGGGUGCGUAGGCGGUCUAAUAAGUCAGUGGUGAAAGCCUCCAGCUCAACUGGAGAACUGCCAUUGAUACUGUUAGACUUGAGUAUACUUGAGGUAGGCGGAAUUGACAGUGUAGCGGUGAAAUGCAUAGAUAUUGUCAAGAACACCGAUUGCGAAGGCAGCUUACUAAAUUAUAACUGACGCUGAGGCACGAAAGUGUGGGUAUCAAACAGG